GACUGUCGACUUGAGUAGAGCAAACAUAGGUGAGAAUCCAAUGCCACGAAACCCUAAGGUUUCCUCCGCCAGGUUCGUCCCCAGAGGAUUAGUUAGGACCUAAGGCGAGGCCUAACGGCGUAGUCGAUGGACACCGGGUUAAAAUUCCCGUACUGAUUGUAGGUUGUGCAGAGGGACGGAGAAGAUGAAUGUCAGCUGGAUGUUGGUUACCGGUUCAAGCGUCAAGAUAUUGAGAGACGGCGAAAAAGUUUCGAGUUGAGGCGUGAGUACGACCCGCGACGGUGGGGAAGUGGCAUAGACUAGCUUCCAAGAAAAGCUCUAAACACCUUAACUUACAGUCACCUGUACCCGAUACCGACACAGCUAGGGAGGUUGAUAAUACCAAGGGGCGCGAGAUAACUCUCUCAAAGGAACUCGGC
rnacentral:rRNA from 1 species